CCUACGGGAGGCAGCAGUGAGGAAUAUUGGUCAAUGGGCGCGAGCCUGAACCAGCCAAGUAGCGUGAAGGAUGACUGCCCUACGGGUUGUAAACUUCUUUUAUAACGGAGUAAAGUGAGGAUCGUGUGCCUUUUUGUAUGUACUUUAUGACUAAAGAUCGACUAACUCCGUGCCAGCAGCCGCGGUAAUACGGAGGAUCCGAACGUUCUCCGGAUGUAUUGGGUUGAAAGGGAGCGUAGAUGGGUUGUUAAGUUAGUUGUGAAAGUUUGCGGCUCAACCGUAAAAUUGCAAUUGAUACUGGCAGUCUGGAGUACAGUAGAGGUAGGCGGAAUUCGUGGUGAAGCGGUGAAAUGCUUAGAUAUCACGAAGAACACCGAUUGCGAAGGCAGCUUACUAAACUGCCACUGACAUUGAUGCUCGAAAGUGUGGGGAUCAAACAGGAUUAGAUACCCUGGUAGUC
rnacentral:rRNA from 1 species